CCAGGAUCUGGUGGGGAAUGGUCGCCUUAGGCGACAGGAAAGUCCGGACAGCUAAAAAGCAGGGUGGCCGGGGAAACUCGGCUCUUCACGAGGCAACUCGUGAGGCACGAUAGGGCCACAGAGACGAUUAAAGGUGAAACGUCCCGGCAUUAGUCGGGGACCCUAUACCAGUAACGGUAUAGGGGUGGUAACCCGCCCCGCUGCAAUCGACGAUCUGGGAUUAAGGUGCUUUUUCCGCCCCUAAAGUCUCGAGCAUAGACAGAUAUUCCUCCUAGACAGAAUCCGGCUUACUAUGACCUGGAGGC
rnacentral:RNase_P_RNA from 3 species